ACACACACACUACCCCUACAUCUAGUCCUUACAGGUAACACACACACACUACCCCUACAUCUAGUCCUUACAGGUAACACACACACACUACCCCUACACCUAGUCCUUACAGGUAACACACACACACUACCCCUACAUCUAGUCCUUACAGGUAACACACACACACUACCCCUACACCUAGUCCUUACAGGUAACACACACACACUACCCCUACACCUAGUCCUUACAGGUAACACACACACUACCCCUACAUCUAGUCCUUACAGGUAACACACACACUACCCCUACACCUAGUCCUUACAGGUAACACACACACUACCCCUACAUCUAGUCCUUACAGGUAACACACACACUACCCCUACGUCUAGUCCUUACAGGUAACACACACACACUACCCCUACAUCUAGUCCUUACAGGU
rnacentral:lncRNA from 1 species